GGACGUUGAAUUCAAUUCAACAGCUGUCAGAAGACUUUCUGUGAGUCCGGGACUGUUCCAGCCUGAGGGGAUAAGAAGGAAGUCAAGAUGAGCCCCUGACACUCGCAGGUUGGAGGUGGGGGGCACAUCCGAGCUCAGCAUCGCCACCCUUCCUCCUCUGGCCACUGCAUGUAUCGCUCUGAUGUGUCUCUGAAGAUGGGGACCCUGCCUCUCUGGAUGGCUGUCAUCAGCUGCCUUCUCCUGGAAUAAAUGCUUUUGUGGAAGCAGAGGACCUUGAGCCUGGUCCUGAGGGGUGGAGAGUCAAAGUCACCAGGAAACAGAGGGUUCUCAGCCAGCGCUAUUGUGCUCGCCUGUAUCAGGAAGCGGAGCUUCUGAGUUAUCGUUAAAGUGAAGAAAUGUCAUUAUUUGUUUGAACCUUCUUCUCGUCAUAAUCUUUGGAAAGGUUAUUAUAUUCAAUAGUUACACCUGACACACCUGUAAAGUCUUCUAAUUUUCGUGAAAUGUGAAGUCUUCGAAUUUUCAAUCCACUCUUCUGUAGAAGCAAAGGAGCAUUCUCCAGCACCAAUUAUUGAUCAAACCCCAAAUCGAUCAACAAGUAUGCAGCCCCAAACUGUCAGAUAAAAAGUACUACAGGGCUUCCCUGGUGGCGCAGUGGUUGAGAGUCCGCCUGCCGAUGCGGGGGACGCGGGUUCGUGCCCCGGUCC